rnacentral:rRNA from 1 species
UACAGAGGGUGCAAGCGUUGUUCGGAAUUAUUGGGCGUAAAGGGCGCGUAGGCGGUUUGUACAGUCAGACGUGAAAUUCCUGGGCUCAACCUGGGGGCUGCGUUUGAUACGUGCGGACUUGAGUUCGGAAGAGGGUCGUGGAAUUCCCAGUGUAGAGGUGAAAUUCGUAGAUAUUGGGAAGAACACCGGUGGCGAAGGCGGCGACCUGGUCCGAUACUGACGCUGAGGCGCGAAAGCGUGGGGAGCAAACAGG